ensembl:rRNA 5S_rRNA 5S ribosomal RNA
GUCUAUGGCCAUACCACCCUGAACCGACCCAAUCUCAUCUGAUCUUGGAAGCUAAGCAGGGCUGGGCCUGGUUAGUACUUGGAUGGGAGGCUGACUGGGAAUACAGGGUGCUGUAGGCU